CUCCCUUUAGUGAAGUGGUUAUCACGUCCGACUGUAAUAUCUGUUGUAUUCGGAAGGCCUCCGCGUUCGACUCCGGGAGGGGAGA